AUACGUAGGGGGCGAGCGUUGUCCGGAAUGAUUGGGCGUAAAGGGCGCGUAGGCGGCGCGGUAAGUCUGGAGUGAAAGUCCUGCUUUCAAGGUGGGAAUUGCUUUGGAUACUGCCGCGCUUGAGUGUAGGAGAGGUUAUCGGAAUUCCCGGUGUAGCGGUGAAAUGCGUAGAGAUCGGGAGGAACACCAGUGGCGAAGGCGGGUAACUGGGCGGCAACGGACGCUGAGGCGCGAAAGUGGGGGGAGAAAACAGGAUUAGAUACCCUGGUAGUCCACACUGUAAACGAGGAAUGCUAGGUGUAGGGGUUGUCAUGACCUCUGUGCCGCCGCUAACGCAUUAAGUAUUCCGCCUGGGGAGUACGGUCGCAAGAUUAAAACUCAAAUGAAUUGACGGGG
rnacentral:rRNA from 1 species